UACGAAGGGGGCGAGCGUUGUUCGGAAUUACUGGGCGUAAAGCGCGCGCAGGCGGUUUUCCAAGUCAGUGGUGAAAGCCCGGAGCUCAACUCCGGAAAUGCCAUUGAAACUGUAAAACUUGAGGACGAGAGAGGUGAGUGGAAUUCCCAGUGUAGAGGUGAAAUUCGAUAGAUAUUGGGAAGAACACCGGUGGCGAAGGCGGCUCACUGGCUCGUUUCUGACGCUCAGGCGCGAUAGCGUGGGGAUCAAACAGG
rnacentral:rRNA from 1 species